AGUGAACGCUGGCGGUAGGCCUAACACAUGCAAGUCGAACGGCAGCACAGUAAGAGCUUGCUCUUACGGGUGGCGAGUGGCGGACGGGUGAGGAAUACAUCGGAAUCUACUUUUUCGUGGGGGAUAACGUAGGGAAACUUACGCUAAUACCGCAUACGACCUACGGGUGAAAGCAGGGGAUCUUCGGACCUUGCGCGAUUGAAUGAGCCGAUGUCGGAUUAGCUAGUUGGCGGGGUAAAGGCCCACCAAGGCGACGAUCCGUAGCUGGUCUGAGAGGAUGAGUAGCCAGCCUGGAACGAGGAACAGGCCCAGCCUCCUAGGGGAGGCGCCAAGGGGGAAAAUGGAGGAAGGGGGGGAGGCUUGAUCCAGACAUGCCGCGGGGGGAAAGAGGGCUUUCGGGUGUGAAAACCCUUUUGUUGGGAAAGAAAAGCAGCAGGUUAAUACCCCGCUGUUUGACGGUAACCAAAGAAAUAAGCCCGGCUAACUUCGUG
rnacentral:rRNA from 1 species